GACGAACGCUGGCGGCGCGCUUAACACAUGCAAGUCGAGCGAGAACCAGCCCUUCGGGGCUGGGGACAGCGGCGAACGGGUGAGUAACACGUGGGUAAUCUGCCCUCGGCAUCGGGAUAGCCCGGGGAAACCCGGAUUAAUACCGAAUAGCCUCCGGAGCCUUCGGGCGCCGGAGAAAAGGUAGCUUCGGCCUCUGGCCGAGGAUGAGCCCGCGGCGGAUUAGCUUGUUGGCGGGGUAACGGCCCACCAAGGCGACGGUCCGUAGCUGGUCUGAGAGGACGAUCAGCCACACUGGGACUGAGGCACGGCCCAGACUCCUACGGGAGGCAGCAGUGGGGAAUCUUGCGCAAAUGCGGGAAACCGUGACGCAGCGACGCCGCGUGGGGGAAGAAGGCCUUCGGGUUGUAAACCUCUUUCAGGAGGGACGAAGCUACUCGGGUUAAUAGCCCAGAGGGUGACGGUACCUCCAGAAGAAGCCCCGGCUAACUACGUGCCAGCCGCCGCGGUAAAAC
rnacentral:rRNA from 1 species